GACGAACGCUGGCGGCGUGCUUAACACAUGCAAGUCGAACGAAGUGGCGAACGGGUGAGUAACGCGUAAUCAACCUGCCCUUCAGAGGGGGACAACAGUUGGAAACGACUGCUAAUACCGCAUACUGAGGGAGGGGACUGCGUCUGAUUAGCUAGUUGGAGGGGUAACGGCCCACCAAGGCGAUGAUCAGUAACCGGGCCGGGAGGAUGAAUGGCCCACUUGGGGAUGGAGAACUGCCCAAGCUCCUACGGGAGGCAGCAGUGGGGAAUCUUCCGCAAUUGACGGAAGUCUGACGGCGCAACGGCGCGUUGUUGAAAAAGGCCUUCGGGUUGUUAAGCUCUGUUAAUCGGGACGCGGUACCGGAAUAGAAAGCCACGGCUAACUACGUGCCAGCCGCCGCGGUAAUAC
rnacentral:rRNA from 1 species